CUCAAGUGCAAAAAUCGAUUCAGUGAGGUCCAGUUUUACAGUAGCAAAUCAAACACCAAACUUCAACCAAGAUCAGAUGACAACAACGCAGCCUGACCCAAGUUUCUUAAGCAGCCAAACCAUUCCAGUUUCCAGCCGCACAAACCCAACCGAUUCUAUUAAAGGUUGAGCAGCUGAUGGAAUGGAAUGAUGUUGAGCGGGUGUUCCUUUGACAUUUCAAGAAAUGUAACCUUGAGUAUACAUCUUCAUAUGUAUAUCUCACACGUUUUCCGCUGCAAAACACUUUAAUUAGAAUAACUCUAUGUUAUGAAGUUGUGACACGUGUUAUUGGGUAACCCACCUUAAUCAGUUCUCCUUCAUGUGUAUGUUUUAUAAGUAUCCAAAUGAUCAUAUAUGAUCCUAGC